AUUACAAAUACUUUUCCUGCCUUUUAUACCUGCCCCUGCCAACCCAUCUCUUCUUAAUACUUCCAUCAUAUUUCUCCUCUGUUCUUCAGAUCUUCUGCAGCUUAAAAGUACAUGUUCUACGGUUUCUAAUGUCUGACAAUACUCACAAAACCCAGCAGGAUGCUUCUCUAUAACGUGUAAUGUACUAUUUAAAUGACUGUGUCCUAUUUCUUCUCUCCUAGUCCCUCCCAAGUUCCUCACUGUACCAACUUUGUCAGGAUCAUCUACCCUUGAAUUCACUAUAUAAACCAGUGUCCUUUAAAUCUACAUCAAGCUUUUAUCACCUUAUUUCCCCCCAAAAAUGUUUAUCAAAUCAAAUUUCUCUUUAUUUUCUUUGAGGUCAGCAAUCAGUAUAUUUCUUUCCUUACUGUAUCUUGGACAUUUGUGACCCUGGACCACAAAACCAGUCUUAAGUCGCAGGGGAAUAUUUGUAGCAAUAGCCAAAAAUACAUUGUAUGGGUCAAAAUGAUCCAUUUUUCUUUUAUGCCAAAAAUCAUUAGGAUAUUAAGUAAAGAUCAUGUUCCAUGAAGAGAAUUAGUGAAUUUCCUACUGUAAAUAUAUCAAAACUUCAUUUUUGAUCAGUAAUAUGCAUUGCUAAGAACUUCAUUUGGACAACUUGGGCAUUUAGUUUUUUUGCACCCUCAGAUUCUCAAAUAGUUUCAUUCAUCUUUCAGAAAUCUCAAUUUCGAAAAAUGUACACUUUCCGGCUUCAUGUCUCCCUGUUCUGUUCAAAUAGAGCAGUAUGAUCAAAUCUAAGCCUUGAGAAUAUGGUUCUUCAUGUCUUUAUUUCUUUCUGUUACUCUAUAUUUAACUUGCCUCACGUUACAACUCUUUGAAUGCUAUAAAACCAUCUCCGUGUUCGUUCUUCCCAUUGUUUCUGCCAUCUAUUCUUCACAUGUUAUUUGAAUAAACACUUCAUUUCACUCUUACUGUACUUUAACUGCAUAUCUAAGAAGCAAUUUAUCUAAUGUUACUCAAAUAAUCCAUAAAGUAUACAGCAGAGCUAGAGACGUAGAGGGGACGCACCACGCCGUCACUAACAUUUCACCGUAAUUACAGACGAAAACGCGCACUAAUAUUUAAACUGUCUGUUAACUGUAUAAAAAUGCAUAAACAUGCCAUUAUACUGACCUGACUCAAAUAAACAAUGUACUGCGAAUAAAAAGUAAACAAUUCACAUGCCUUCAAAGCGAAAAGUACGUAUUGGGAAAAUUAAGUAUGCGCCAAAUUACAGUUAUUUACGGUACAUUUGUUUACAACCAGGAAAAUCAAAGCAAACAUCUGCUACAAAACUAUCUAAUUUGUUGCCAUAAAACAAGUGAUUGCACUCAGAAAGUAAGCUUACUUUGUAAUUAGCAUGAACUUAGCAUGAAGCACAAAUCUUUUACUCACGCAUUGUUGCAUUAAACAGCUUACAUUUAGUCACUAACAGUUAAAUAUACUCAAGUGGGUUUAAUUAUUUUAAGAGCGUAAAUACUGCUAUAUGUGGCGGGGCAGUGCAAUUUGAGACAAGCCCAAGGUUUUACUAUUAAGAAAGUCCGACUACGACACCCUAGGGGUUAACCCGAGGGAAAAUACUAAAAUUGAGCAAAGCACACAGGUUCGGUUCCCUCAUAGAAUUAGGCCAGAGACGCGAGUCAAGUAUAAAAACACAAAAUGUUUAUUAAUACAGAGAUGAUUUAAAAUGUUGGACACUAAAGCCCAUGAGACACUAGAAACCCCACUUCAAACAAAAACAAAUUACAAAAGGCGAAAAUAACAAAAACCCACUUCGUAUGUAGCGGUUAUGUAUAUGUAAAACAAAACAAAACUAAAUACCAGCAGGGCUGAGGCUCCCAACGGCAGGAAUCAAUGUAGAGUUUGGUUUUACAAAGGAACACGUCCACGCCGCACACACACACACACGUGCAGUCUGAUCACACUAUCAAACACUGAUACACACUGUACACGAUAAGGAACCACCACAAGGAAGAUCAAUCCACUCGUGGGACCCCAGCUCCUGCAAUAAAUCAAAAAGAAAUUAAGAAACCAUAAAAAUGAACAUGGAAAUGGCAAUAUGGACCUCACUAAUGAAGCAAGUCCUCACAACAGUGAAUGUCAAUAACAAAGAGAAAUAAAGAGAGAAAGCAAUAAGCUUACAAGGAUCAAAUAGUUGGUCACCUGAGAUUAUCACAAAACCACGAACUCAAUAGAUGAUCACACACACACAAGUAGAGUUGCAUUAAUGAUUGAUCACAUACAUCAAGAGUUAUAAUCACUUAAUUAGUUUUACAAACAUUAAGAAAAGAAAAAAAAAGUCAAAUCAACCAAGCCAAACAAAACAAACUUUACUUCCUCAGAAUUGAAAAGAAAACAAAAGAUUAAAUGGUUUAAGUCAAAAGAAAGAGGGCAGUAUUAUACAAACGAAAAGCGCCGAUCAGGUCUCCCCAACAAGCCAAAGAUGUGAAACAGGGCAUUAAAACGGCACGAUAAGAAUCAGACUAGCAGUCCCCUUUAAUUAAUUAAUAACGAUGAUCGCGUCUGUGCGGCUGUAGAAGUAUAUUAUGUCUGUGUAGAAGCAGCAGCGCUUUAACAGCGCGAAGACAACAGUAAAUAGUCACGGCACAGAACGAGCGGGAGAAUCCUACAACAAACACAAAAGGAGACGUUACCAAUCAUAAAUAUUAUCCCCACUCCCAAUUAUAAUUGCGGUUAAACACUUACCAUCAGGAUAUCACGCCAGAUAGCACGCUUUAUAGGCACGGAUCGGUCACAGUCAUGCCCACCAGCAGCACAAUGGGGCACAGGAAACCAUGCCCACCGAGAGACGAACAGUCAUCGAAUCCACCUGUAAGCAGCGUGAAAAGGGCACCAGAAGACAAAGCUGCACUAUGAUCAACAAAAUGAUUUCAGGUUAUGCACACCCUAACAAUUCCUAAAUUACCACCUAUUAAAACAUAGCACGCUUACCUACAGCCACCGUCAACACAGGCAAACAAAGGGGGAAAACGGACGUGGCGCAACCCAGAGCCAUAGAGAGAGAGAGUUGCGACAACUCCGUUGACUCCAAUGGACCGUUUUUUUACAGCAAUGGCGGAUCAUGGAGCCGCUCAAUAGUUCCCGGAAGUUAGCUCUCAUACUAUCAGCGCCUUAGAGAUGCAGCAGAAGAGACCGCUGUGAUGAACUUUUAAAAGAACAAGAACCACCUGAAGACUCCCUGUAAUGAGAAAUCACCCUCACAAUGAGUCUCUUCACUGGGUUUGGCAAGUCUCUCCCUGUUCUUUGUGAAAAAGUGCCAGUUCCCAUAUGAUUACAUCACAUUUUGUUGGUGUAAUCUAUAGAUUGCACCUGCUGACUAUAUCCAGCAUCUUAUGAAGACUUCAGAUGACCAGCACCUG